UUUUUAGUAUAAUUAUGUCCCAUGCAAUAUCUAGGAUAUAUUUAUACUCAAA
rnacentral:pre_miRNA from 1 species